rnacentral:tRNA from 1 species
AGCUCCAAGGUGUGACAUAUGAGAUUGCAAAUCUCAAGAAGCAGACUAAUAUCUGCUGGGGCUU